UGGGGCAGAUCUCAGAUGUUCAUGUCUUGCUCCCCACUGCAUCAGCAUCGUCACUGACCCUAAUGUAGGAGAAAUGUAUGGUACUGGAAAGCCCCUCCUGGUACAUGGUUUGCCUGUACCACAGGUCUCACACCUCAUACCUUAAGAACAAAGGAUGCUGCAGGUGACCCUGUACUUUGCAUCCUGGUUCAUAUUAUUCCCCAGGUUUACUAUUACUCAGGGGAAGGAGGUAGGGAGCACUUUGAAGGGAUGCGGACUAGUCAGGCCAUAUCAGGUCAGAGUGCCAAUUCUCAUCCCAAUCUUGGUAGGGCUGGGGAUAGGAGGAACUGCAGCUCUCAGCACUGCCGCCCUUGCUCAGGGAAACCAGAAUUUCCAGGCUCUCAACAGAUUUUAGACCUUACUGAAUUAGGCAUUAAUUGCUGGGAGCCAUCAGACCAAGAUGCCUGGACAGAGUCAUGCGUGGUAGCUGGGGAGACCAGAGUGGACUGUGACUGCCCACUCUAUCCCCUUUACACGGCCUCCUUCGUCAAUGCCCCUUACCUAUGAAUUGACAUGAUUAUUAUUCCCUCUAGUCUCAAAAGAAAUAAUGCAAGAGUAAAUCACUUGUACCCUAGUCUCUAAAACACCACCAAAAGAUCAGACCCUCGAACCCAGUCCCAAAAAGACGAGUUAACUUUUAUUCUUGUACAUAAUUCCUAGCAAUACUGCAGUGGCAGAUCAAGCCCCAAAACUUCCCCACUCACAGAAGCCUGUUCUCAUGAAGUCAACAGAAAACCCGAGAGGCCCAAGUGAUAAGUACAAAUACAUCAAGCUUCAGUAUGCCUCAGUGACUCAGGAACUUCCUAGAAGCCACCAGUCUAAACUUGACUUGUGCUCCCAGACCCCUCAGCCUUGAUGAUAUGAUUGAAUGGUCUAAGAACUGCUGAUUAAUUAUUCCAUUUUUAUUAAAAGCUCAAAACUUCUUGCUCACAAAAAGGCAGUGAAUGACUAUAAUUCCAUCUGCUCUUUCUUUCAUUCUAUCAAUUUAUGGAGUGUAUUCUUCAAUUGCCCUCCCAACUUCAUCCAAGGCAGAGAGCAAAGCAUCUUUUUUCAGGUCCAAGAUACGGUUAAGCUCCUUAAAGUACUGGAGGACGGUUUCUUUAUCACUUUGGACAACUUGCUCCACAUGGGAUUUCUGGUCCAAUAACUUUUCAAGGAGCAGAGAGACAUCUCCCAAGGGACCUUCGGUCAACUGCUUGAAGAGUUUGGGGUGUCCUCGGUGCUCGCCUUUGGUAAGGCAGUGGCCACACACUGGCUCACGGUCCUGCAGGCAAUAGAUGUUGAGCGGCUGGCUGUGUUCAGGACAAAUGAAGAAUUCUUCCUUCUUGCAUUUUUCAAUAAGAGCCUUCACGGCAAGGUUGAUGGGCAAAGAGUCAAUGCCAGGGGGAGGGAUUUCAAUUAUUCGCCUGCAACUAAAACAAGUGAUGUUAAUCUGCUCGCAGACAUUCUCAGAUGCCUCAAGAACAUUUUCUUCAUCUUCCAGACAAUUUCUGCAAAACGUAUGGGAGCAUGGCAGGAUUCGAGGAUCCUCAAAUAUGUCAAUACAAAAGGGGCAUGUAAGUUCCUCCUCAAAAAAAUGCAUUUCCUGUGAAGAAAAAAAAUUGCUUUGAGUCACUUGCAAAUACUGAUUUUUAAACAGUUUCUAGUUGCUAAUAAGAGACCCAGAAUUCACUAAGCACCAAAUGCCUGCAAUUAAUGAGAAACAGAUCACGACCACCUAAAAUAAACUGGAGACUCCUGAAGAGGUGAUACUGCCA
rnacentral:lncRNA from 1 species